UUCUCUGGAUUUUUUCAGCCACAACAACUGGAUUCUCUUUUCUGAUUUUUGCUGCAGCUUCUGCUUUGUAAUCAUAUGGACAGUUGUGCUUGUCAGAGUAACGGUGAAGUCCACAAAACAAAUUUCCACAUCGGCAGUCAAACCCUGUACACAUAAGAGGAAGUAGAGUCACUUGGGAAUUUGCAGUAAUUAAAAGGGGAAAAAAAAAGCCUCAGUCAGUGGAGAAAAAGAACCAGAUUUUCAUGGUUCUCUGUAACAUGAAAUUGAGUCUGCCACUUUAAAUUGUGAAACAGCUUUCAAUCUCUUUUGACACAGUGAGAAAUUCGAAUAGCUCUCCCUCCAUAAACGCCUGUGGAUAGCACAGGGUAGAAAUUACACAGGCUCUAAAGCCAGACUGACCUGGAUGCAAAUCCUCCUCCUCCUACAUAGAGCAGGAUAACGUUUUCUCAAGUGAAAACUGGGGAAAAGAGAACCAGAGGGUUCUGAAAUUUACAGGGAACAGUUAAGAAGUAUUCUAAUACUUUGUGCCUGGCUCAAAGACGGUGUUCACUGUUUGGGUCAACUACCUUCUCCUCAGGAGAACAAAGAAAAGACUCGAAAGCGAUGAAUUUUUAUCAGUUCAGUAAAGCAGAGAGACUCACAAGGCCUGAAGGUAAUAAAAGGUUCCAGAGGAUUAGAGACACAAGUGCAAAUCAAACCCAACUUCUCCCCACUAUCCUGCCCUCUUUCUAGUCCACUCUGGAAACUUUCUGUUCCUGAAAGUUGGGCAUUUUGUUGUAGGUGUCAGGACUGACCAGUCCCUUAAGGGAGCUCCCUGUUAAAGCCUACCAACAAAAUAUACGUUGUCUUCUAUGUUCUCUAAUACCUGUAAGGCCAACUUUCUUUCUGCACAUAAAACAUCUGUUCUUCUUUGGUUUGGGCAACUCAGGAGCUUUUUCUUCACUUUGAGAAGUACUAGGCUGAGAAACGGAUGGACUGGGCUGAGUGACAACUGAAAAACAAGGGUGAAAAUGAGAUAACUGUUAAGAGUUCACUGGCUGACAAUUACUUAAGUCACAAAAAGAAAACAUUUAAGAGAAGCAGGAAGAUUCUCAGUGAAAAUAUUCAUGAAGCCUUCUUAAAAACAUGUGCUUUAAAUAGAAUCUUCUACUUCAGUAUCAGAACUUUCAAAUCUGACAGUCUCUUGCCAACCAACAUACACUUGGCUUCUCUAAAUUUUGUAAAAUGAUUACUCCACUCAAAUUCCUUUAAACUGACUCUUAACAGCUAGUACUAGGGAAUAAACUCCUAAGUUUUAAAGACCUGGGAGAUGCUGGUCACAUGCCCAGUUUUUCCAAAUUGCAAUUGCCUAAAUGCAAACUUCUUAAUUAGGGCAGUUUACAUUCAUUAUUACUCAGUACAUAAAGUUGCCAACCGCCAAAAUAUUCAUUUUGGUUUUACACUGAUAGACAAAAGACUGAAUACAUAAAUUUAGCAAUUUCAGUAAGUAAAACCCAAAUCGUUAAGCCCUAAUUAACUUCAGAUCCUAAAAUUUCACAAUUAUUUUGCCAUUUUAACACGGGCUUUAUAUGGUCACAUGCAGAAAAUCUGAAUAGUUCUUAAACUUUUUGAAAGAUCAGCAAACAGUCUUUAGGACAAUAUAAGUACUUGUGAAGUUUUGACUAUUAAGGAUUCCACAGGCAAAUCAAGAAUUUUUAAAGCACAGCUUUUAUUUGCUUUGCAGUACUUCUCUAAAAUGGGUACAGAAUUUAGACAAUGAGAGAUAAUGAUCUACUUUUAAGAAGUCCGUGUUUCUCCUUAAAGUUUUAGUUCACAUGACAUCAAUAAAAUUUGUCAACAUGAAAACUGCAGUUCAGCACAUUAGAGCUCACCAUUACCACUAGUUACUUAAAACAAAAAUACCAAAUUAGUUCUGCUUUUAUAGAAUUCAAUUAGACCAGAAGCACAGAGUUUUAAUAUUAAUCCAAACCCCAAGAAUAGCAAAUUAUUGUAUGCAAUGCUAAGAUUACUGCUUAAAUAGGCCAGCACCAAUGCUAGAAGCAUAAAUCCAAACUCUAGAGCAAGCUGAUAGGUUUCAUGACAGCUUACUCUAAAAUUCUCUGUAAAUACAUAACUCAUUUGCAUUAGUAAUAUAUUUAGUCAGACUAAUAGCCUAUUAUACACUAACAGAAUAAUACUCUACCUACUACUCAUUCCUAAUAAUCUACUAUGACAACCUAAUAGUUUUUCCUGAUGCUAUGAUGGUAAAGAAAAAUGUACGGGAACAGUUUGGGGGAGGGGUAUGUGUGACAGCCAUUUCCUUGGCUACAUCAGAAGACUGAAUAGUGGUUCCUGGGACAUACAAGGACAAAUGGGAGUUAAGAAGGGGGAAACGACUCAGUAAAGGCAAAGAGGAACAAACUACAGAACCUAUUAAGAAAUAAUAAAUGCAGAGACCAGGUGCAGAUCCAAACCAAAAGAGUACCGUUCCCAGGUCAGAGUAAUUUUGUUUAUAAAACCCCACGAACACCUAAUUUGGCCAGCUUUUUCAGAAAGAUUGAACUCCUUUGAAAAUACCAAAUAUGGAUUCACCUGCUGAACUGCAGAGUUUUUACUUAACUUUAUAAAUUACGAUUGCUAUAGUUCACAUAAGCUUUGCUAUGUGAUGUUAGCAAAAGCAAGCCUCCAAAGCAGAUCACAUACCCACAGAUGUUAUUUCCUCACAAUAAAGUUUUAUAUUGCGUUCAGUCAACACUGUACCAGGAGACAAUGAACUGAGUAAAUGAAUGAUGUGCCCUAUAGAGUACAGAGCUAUCUGUUUUAGGGCCCAGCACAGGUAAUUCAAACAAGUCCAUCUCUCAAUGUGACAGCACUUCUGACUAUGCUCUACAGAAGCAGAGACUCAAAGGCACUCAAUGAAAACAAUGCCUUUCCAUAUUGAGUUUUGAACUCUUGGUUUUUUCAACUCCUAGACUUUUCAACUUGAAAGCUUCUUUCAGUGUUCAAUAUGUUGUCUUAAAUAUUUUCUACAACACUGAGGAUACCAAGACUGAAUAUUGCUUUUGAUUAUAAAACUUUCUUCACGGCUUUGAAAUUUAACCUAAUUUCUUCUGUUUAUGAGUAACACUUUCUUUAGUGAUUUAGAGAUCUUUGAAAUAUAAUGGCAAACGACCUUUUAAGUUCAUUACAUUCUUAAUAUUUCCAGUUCCCAGAUUAUAAAUUUAUGGUGUGAGUUUAAGGAGAAGAAAGAAGAGUAAAGAAUGACUAUUUUACACCCAAGGGACUUGAGAGAGAGUGGCUCUUCCUUGGCCUAGAUUUUACAGCUCUCUCUCCAAUUUAACCUUCAAUGGGAAGGAACUCCUCUCCCACCAACUCUUUCUUGUACUACCAAAUCCAGAACGGAACUAGUAUUAAACAAAAAGCAUACCUGGCUCUGACACCUCUGUUUUCGGGGUAGUUAUUUUGUCCUCUCUUGAAAUGCUCAUUUCUGUCAUUUGCUGAGUUACAGGCAAGGCAGCCACAGGCACAUUUCUAUUUGAGUUCAAGCAAACAUUUUUAAAGAUGUUAAGGGUACUUCUUUGUGAGACAGUAAGUUGUCAGUUCAACUUUAAAGUAUGUACUAUUUCCAACAUGAUCAAAUGGAACUAAAUAAUCUAAAAACUUAAAAGAAUAUUGGAUGCCCAGCACACACGGUUGAGAAUAAAGAAAGCGAUCUGAUAAAUGGCUCAUCAAUUCAAGGCUGCAUAUGUGUAUGGGUUACGAUGUCCUAUUAUAGCCAACUGGGAACUUUUAGCUGUGCCUGUAACUUAAGGGCAAAAGGGGCAGCUUCGCCAAAAUGUCUUGUGUAGCAUUACAACACAGUCUGCAGAGCCAUACUCUACAAUCACUUAACCUCAAUUAUAAUACAAGCACAGCAUUCUCAAUACAGCAUCCUUGAGAGUACCACGGAGUGUUAUGAUAUACGUCUUUAUUCAGUGACCUGUAAGACCAUGUAGUAAAAGAUCCCAGAAUCCCAGACUGUGCAACACAAGCAAAGCCAAGGGCAUCGGAUCCAUUAACAUCCUUAGUAUAUAUAGACAUUCAUAAUUAGAAUGGUAUGGGGAGCACCCACGUAUUUCCUUGUUGUAUUAUGAUAAAAAGCCUGAAGUGGUCAAUCUUACCUUGAUUUUUCAGAUGUGCUGCCAGCAGCACCUUCACAGUUGUUUAAACUAGUGUCUGCUCUCUGUACAGAUGCAGAAUCUGAGGUAGGACUGUUGGAACCACUAGCUGUUCCUAUUUAAAAAAAGGAUUUGUAAGAAACAGCAAGACUACCAACACUCAGUAGCAAGACUCUUAAUAAGUAACAAAUACUUGCAUUUAAUUAGGUUAGUGAUUUAAGCACUUUCACUGUACUGCUGAAUCCUACAAUUAAGUGAGUAUCCAAACAAAAACAUGUAUGGAAAAGUCACAUCCAGUGAACAUAAGUAUGAAACAAAACCUCAAAAAGGAAAAUAAAAAAGCUAGAAGAUGCUUGUAGAUGGUCAUUCAUUCCUGAUGUUGUCAUGCCAAGGACGUGGGCUGGGCUGCUGCUUUAAUUUCAAGCUUUUCUCAGGAAUUCUCUUCUUGGGCUCUCAGCAUUGAUUCUCAUAGUCUUAGGCCCCAAUUCUUGGUUCUAUAUUUUCUGUCCACCAGUUCUUCAAAUGGGUUUUUCCUUGGAAACUUACCCAUUGGGCUCAUUCUGCCACUAUUUUGCUG
rnacentral:lncRNA from 1 species